rnacentral:tRNA from 1 species
GCGCCAGUGGUGUAAUGGAAUAAAGCAUUUCUGCCCGGUUAGCAGCUGGCGCAGGUUCGAGUCUCGCCUGGCGCA